rnacentral:rRNA from 1 species
CUACGGGUUGCUCCAGUGGGGAAUAUUGGACAAUGGGCGAAAGCCUGAUCCAGCAAUGCCGCGUGAGUGAUGAAGGCCUUAGGGUUGUAAAGCUCUUUUACCCGGGAUGAUAAUGACAGUACCGGGAGAAUAAGCUCCGGCUAACUCCGUGCCAGCAGCCGCGGUAAUACGGAGGGAGCUAGCGUUGUUCGGAAUUACUGGGCGUAAAGCGCACGUAGGCGGCUUUGUAAGUUAGAGGUGAAAGCCUGGAGCUCAACUCCAGAAUUGCCUUUAAGACUGCAUCGCUCGAAUCCAGGAGAGGUCAGUGGAAUUCCGAGUGUAGAGGUGAAAUUCGUAGAUAUUCGGAAGAACACCAGUGGCGAAGGCGGCUGACUGGACUGGUAUUGACGCUGAGGUGCGAAAGCGUGGGGAGCAAACAGGAUUAGAUACCCGGGUAGUC